AAGACUAUAGACCUGCGGAGUACCUGCGGAGGGAUCAUUAACGAGUUAGGGUCUUCUAGGCCUGACCUCCCAACCCUUUGUUUACUGAACCACCGUUGCUUCGGCGGGCCCGUCUUACGACCGCCGGAGGAUCGCUGAAAGGCGUGUCCUCUGGCCCGCGUCCGCCGAGAGCCAACCAUUUAAAAUUCUGUAUGAAUCGUGUCUUGUGUCUAAGUCUAUGAUUAAAUGAAAAAGCAAAAC
rnacentral:misc_RNA from 1 species